rnacentral:rRNA from 1 species
AGAGUUUGAUCAUGGCUCAGAUUGAACGCUGGCGGCAGGCCUAACACAUGCAAGUCGAGCGGUAGCACAGAGAGCUUGCUCUCGGGUGACGAGCGGCGGACGGGUGAGUAAUGUCUGGGAAACUGCCUGAUGGAGGGGGAUAACUACUGGAAACGGUAGCUAAUACCGCAUAACGUCGCAAGACCAAAGUGGGGGACCUUCGGGCCUCAUGCCAUCAGAUGUGCCCAGAUGGGAUUAGCUAGUAGGUGGGGUAACGGCUCACCUAGGCGACGAUCCCUAGCUGGUCUGAGAGGAUGACCAGCCACACUGGAACUGAGACACGGUCCAGACUCCUACGGGAGGCAGCAGUGGGGAAUAUUGCACAAUGGGCGCAAGCCUGAUGCAGCCAUGCCGCGUGUGUGAAGAAGGCCUUCGGGUUGUAAAGCACUUUCAGCGGGGAGGAAGGCGAUAAGGUUAAUAACCUUGUCGAUUGACGUUACCCGCAGAAGAAGCACCGGCUAACUCCGUGCCAGCAGCCGCGGUAAUACGGAGGGUGCAAGCGUUAAUCGGAAUUACUUGGCGUAAAGCGCACGCAGGCGGUCUGUCAAGUCGGAUGUGAAAUCCCCGGGCUCAACCUGGGAACUGCAUUCGAAACUGGCAGGCUAGAGUCUUGUAGAGGGGGGUAGAAUUCCAGGUGUAGCGGUGAAAUGCGUAGAGAUCUGGAGGAAUACCGGUGGCGAAGGCGGCCCCCUGGACAAAGACUGACGCUCAGGUGCGAAAGCGUGGGGAGCAAACAGGAUUAGAUACCCUGGUAGUCCACGCCGUAAACGAUGUCGAUUUGGAGGUUGUGCCCUUGAGGCGUGGCUUCCGGAGCUAACGCGUUAAAUCGACCGCCUGGGGAGUACGGCCGCAAGGUUAAAACUCAAAUGAAUUGACGGGGGCCCGCACAAGCGGUGGAGCAUGUGGUUUAAUUCGAUGCAACGCGAAGAACCUUACCUGGUCUUGACAUCCACAGAACUUUCCAGAGAUGGAUUGGUGCCUUCGGGAACUGUGAGACAGGUGCUGCAUGGCUGUCGUCAGCUCGUGUUGUGAAAUGUUGGGUUAAGUCCCGCAACGAGCGCAACCCUUAUCCUUUGUUGCCAGCGGUCCGGCCGGGAACUCAAAGGAGACUGCCAGUGAUAAACUGGAGGAAGGUGGGGAUGACGUCAAGUCAUCAUGGCCCUUACGACCAGGGCUACACACGUGCUACAAUGGCAUAUACAAAGAGAAGCGACCUCGCGAGAGCAAGCGGACCUCAUAAAGUAUGUCGUAGUCCGGAUUGGAGUCUGCAACUCGACUCCAUGAAGUCGGAAUCGCUAGUAAUCGUAGAUCAGAAUGCUACGGUGAAUACGUUCCCGGGCCUUGUACACACCGCCCGUCACACCAUGGGAGUGGGUUGCAAAAGAAGUAGGUAGCUUAACCUUCGGGAGGGCGCUUACCACUUUGUGAUUCAUGACUGGGGUGAAGUCGUAACAAGGUAACCGUAGGGGAACCUGCGGUUGGAUCACCU